UAAUUGGUAUUGAUAUCUUACAGUGGUCCUCUCCGCAGACAAUACCAGUCUCUGUUCUCUAAGGCUCUUAAACCAACACAUGGAAACCUGUCACCUAUCAAACCAGUGUCUGACAAGGAGAACAGGUUGAAAGUUGCUCCCAAGGAAGGAACUGGGAAAAUUAAUGCAUUUUCUGUAACAGGAGGAGGAGCCCAGAAGUCAGCCAGACGGAAUCUACAGUCUGCUCUUGGAAGUCCUAAGAGGAAAACGGCCGUCAAAUCUACUACGAAGCCAAAACUGAAUAAUGUGUCUAGAGCAGCAUGGAGAUAGCAGAAAUAAGACACUUGCCAAAUACAUGACAAUGUACAGUUCCUGUUUUACUGUAUUUGAUGGAAUUUUGAAAAUUUUACUUAAAAUUUUUUGGGGCCCAAAGUUGACGGGAUCAGUGUGACUCUGAGACUGUAGACUGCUGGUAGAGUCCACUCUGAGCUGCUUUCAAAACAGCAACUGGCUUAAUAAUCUCAAGCAUUUUCCCAUUUGAUGUAAAGCAAGUGGGUUAGAAGGUACCACAGAAUGUUUUCUUAUGGGUGUGUAGUUCAUCUAUGUUGCAGAAUCUUUUUAUAACCUUUGGAGAAAGAUUCCAAAGUUAAAUAUUUCGAAAUCUUGACACCGUUUUCAGUUUUUGAUAUUUUCAGCCUUGUUGUUUUGCCAUACACUUAUUAGGCUUCUUGCAGCGCUUAAUCUCUAAAGACAGUGAUUAUAUAUAUAUGCCAAUAUAUAAUUGUAUGUAUACUUUUCUCAUAUUUACAUAUGACUGUGAUAAACUGCUUAUUUACAUUUUUUAUCGAGAAAUUGGG